CACGUGCUCCGGGGUCGGUGGAAAUCCGAGCCGGCGGUGACAGUCCGCGAACGGACGAUGCGCGACCGGGUCCCCGGGAGCCUCGUCCGCCGAUCCGGUGGGAAUCCGGGACCGACGGUGAGAGUCCGGAUGGGAGGCGCACGCG
rfam:Clavibacter michiganensis subsp. sepedonicus complete genome